rnacentral:rRNA from 1 species
AGCGAACGCUGGCGGCAGGCCUAAUACAUGCAAGUCGAGCGCACCUUCGGGUGAGCGGCGGACGGGUGAGUAACGCGUGGGAAUAUGCCCUUUGGUACGGAACAACUGAGGGAAACUUCA